UACGUAGGGGGCAAGCGUUAUCCGGAUUUACUGGAUGUAAAGGGAGCGCAGGCGGCAGGAUGAGUCUGAUGUGAAAACCCGCGGCUCAACCACGGGAUUGCAUUGGAAACUGUCCAGCUAGAGUGUCGGAGAGGUAAGCGGAACUCCUAGUGUAGCGGUGAAAUGCGUAGAUAUUAGGAGGAACACCAGUGGCGAAGGCGGCUUACUGGACGAUGACUGACGCUGAGGCUCGAAAGCGUGGGGAGCAAACAGG
rnacentral:rRNA from 1 species